rnacentral:rRNA from 1 species
AAAGGUAGCAUAAUCAUUAGGGGUUUAAUUGGAACCUAGAAUGAAGGGUCGGACAAAGGAAAAGCUGUCUGUGAGGUUUAACUUGAAGUUCACUUUUAAGUGAAAAGGCUUAAAUAAAUCAAAGGGACGAUAAGACCCUAUAAAGCUUUAUAAAUAAUUUAAAUCUGAUUAAUUUAGGAUAUAAAUGUUAAAUUUGAUUAUUUUAUUUUAUUGGGGUGAUGUGAGUAUAAUUGCUAUUAACUGCUUAUAAAAAAUUCUUUUAUAAAAGAUUUAUCAAAGUGAAUGAUCCUUUUUAAAGAUUAAAAGACUAAGUUACUUUAGGGAUAACAGCGUUAUUUUUCUUGAGAGUUCAUAUCGAAAGAAGAGAUUGCGACCUCGAUGUUGAAUUAAAAUAUCUAUAUAAUGCAGCCGUUAUAAAAGAGGGUCUGUUCGACCUUUAAAUU